GACGAACGCUGGCGGCGUGCCUAAUACAUGCAAGUCGAACGCACGAAGUUGAAGAGCUUGCUCUUUAACCAAGUGAGUGGCGGACGGGUGAGUAACACGUGGGUAACCUGCCCAUUAGAGGGGGAUAACAUUCGGAAACGGAUGCUAAUACCGCAUAGUUUCAGGGAUCGCAUGAUUCUUGAAGGAAAGGUGGCUUCGGCUACCACUAAUGGAUGGACCCGCGGCGUAUUAGCUAGUUGGUGAGGUAAUGGCUCACCAAGGCAAUGAUACGUAGCCGACCUGAGAGGGUGAUCGGCCACACUGGGACUGAGACACGGCCCAGACUCCUACGGGAGGCAGCAGUAGGGAAUCUUCCGCAAUGGACGAAAGUCUGACGGAGCAACGCCGCGUGAGUGAAGAAGGUUUUCGGAUCGUAAAACUCUGUUGUUAAAGAAGAACAAGGAUGAGAGUAACUGCUCAUCCCCUGACGGUAUUUAACCAGAAAGCCACGGCUAACUACGUGCCAGCAGUCGCGGUAAUACGUAGGUGGCAAGCGUUGUCCGGAUUUAUUGGGCGUAAAGCGAGCGCAGGCGGUUCUUUAAGUCUGAUGUGAAAGCCCCCGGCUCAACCGGGGAGGGUCAUUGGAAACUGGAGAACUUGAGUGCAGAAGAGGAGAGUGGAAUUCCACGUGUAGCGGUGAAAUGCGUAGAUAUGUGGAGGAACACCAGUGGCGAAGGCGACUCUCUGGUCUGUAACUGACGCUGAGGCUCGAAAGCGUGGGGAGCAAACAGG
rnacentral:rRNA from 1 species